AACGAACGCUGGCGGCAUGCCUAACACAUGCAAGUCGAACGAGACCUUCGGGUCUAGUGGCGCACGGGUGCGUAACGCGUGGGAACCUGCCCUUAGGUUCGGAAUAACUCCCCGAAAGGGGUGCUAAUACCGGAUAAUGUCUUCGGACCAAAGAUUUAUCGCCGUUGGAUGGGCCCGCGUUGGAUUAGCUAGUUGGUAGGGGAAAAGCCUACCAAGGCGACGAUCCAUAGCUGGUCUGAGAGGAUGAUCAGCCACACUGGGACUGAGACACGGCCCAGACUCCUACGGGAGGCAGCAGUGGGGAAUAUUGGACAAUGGGCGAAAGCCUGAUCCAGCAAUGGCGCGUGAGUGAUGAAGGCCUUAGGGUUGUAAAGCUCUUUUACCCGGGAUGAUAAUGACAGUACCGGGAGAAUAAGCUCCGGCUAACUCCGUG
rnacentral:rRNA from 1 species